GCACACAAGAUCCUGGGCCGAACCUACUUUAACUUUGUCCUCCCUCCAAUUUAUUUUGUUGUUUGAGACCCGGGAACGACCAGCGAGCGUAAUGGCGGAGGAGAACGACACGUGGAGACCAUCAAGCCUUUGCUUCGAUUGGGACGGCGCUACUGUGGUGCAGUAUACCUACAGAAACGAGAGCUGAGCCGAAGUGGACACAAAGAAAAAGCGAGUUCCGCGCAAUGGUACAAACUUCUGAAAUAACUUCAACCCAGACAGGAGGGACGCUUUUAUGAGGUGGCCUCCUGUAGCGCUUCAUCUGUUACCGAGCGGAAAGCUGACCAAUAAGCCCCCGCAUACUACCUGAAGGCAUCAAGUCGGCAGGAACGAGACUCUCGCUAUGAAUGAAAAGAAGAAGGCAACUGCAGUGCGUUCGCCGCAUUCCUGUAGUUGACGUCUAUGGAGCGCGGCAGGUGGGAAGCCACUGAUCUGAACCACUAAUAAAUCUCCUAUGACCCUUCGGCGAAAACAUACGUAACUGCAAGCUCAAUUUCCUAGGCGUUGUAGUACACACAAAUGUCGACUGACUCAUGUGCUGGAGGGGAUUGUCUUGAAUCCUGUUGGCGCAGAUACACCAAUAGGUUACUCUAAUGGGCUGGAAGUUCUCCUGAAGCUCUCCUUUCAUGUUCUGUAGGCGCAGUCUCUUCAACUUUGCACUUCAGCAAGCACAAAGUCGAUCAUGAAUCACCUACUGGCCCAAUCGUCCACUUUGAUCAGCACAAAGAAAUUCAGAAGAGCGAAUUUUGGCGUUUUUGCGCUGACAACAGCGAUUGUUAAUUCAACAUAAUAUAGUAACUAUUCCUAGAA